GAUGAACGCUGGCGGCGUGCCUAAUACAUGCAAGUCGAGCGAACAGACGAGGAGCUUGCUCCUCUGACGUUAGCGGCGGACGGGUGAGUAACACGUGGAUAACCUACCUAUAAGACUGGGAUAACUUCGGGAAACCGGAGCUAAUACCGGAUAAUAUAUUGAACCGCAUGGUUCAAUAGUGAAAGACGGUUUUGCUGCCACUUAUAGAUGGAUCCGCGCCGCAUUAGCUAGUUGGUAAGGUAACGGCUUACCAAGGCAACGAUGCGUAGCCGACCUGAGAGGGUGAUCAGCCACACUGGAACUGAGCCACGGUCCAGACUCCUACGGGAGGCAGCAGUAGGGAAUCUUCCGCAAUGGGCGAAAGCCUGACGGAGCAACGCCGCGUGAGUGAUGAAGGUCUUCGGAUCGUAAAACUCUGUUAUUAGGGAAGAACAAAUGUGUAAGUAACUAUGCACGUCUUGACGGUACCUAAUCAGAAAGCCACGGCUAACUACGUG
rnacentral:rRNA from 1 species